rnacentral:lncRNA from 1 species
GUUCUGGCUUGCCACCAGACUUCCACUGGCUGAGAGAGGUAAUAGUGCCUUGUUACUAUUCCCCACUUUGCUUCUACUAGUAGCACUAGAAGAAGAGUAGACGCUUUAUACUUGGCAGUGGUAAAAGUCCUGUCCACUAGAAUCCCUUGAACACCACCCCAGUGAGGAGAAGACGGGAUACUUUAUUACUUCCGGUGGGAAGAAGUGCAGAUUCCCUGCAUGGUCUCUACUGAAACGAGUGUGGAACAGUAUGGUCUUUGGAGUCUGAAAGGACAGGUAAAAUUCCAGCUGCUCUCUUUAAUGCCAUUUUUGGUCCACACAGAGAAAAGGCCAUGUGAGGACACAGCUAGAAGGCAGCCAUCUGAGAGCCAAGCAGACAGGUCUCAUCAGAUGCCAGCCCUGCCAGCACCUUUAUCUUGGACUUCCACUCUCCUAAGUUGUCAGAAAAUAAAUUUAUGUUGUUUAAGCCAACAUUCUAUUCCAUUUACUCUGUUAUAGCAACCUGAGCAGUCAUACCCUCUCUCUCCUCCUUAUUCCACUUAGCAUCCAUAGUGAGUAAUAAUAAUCAUUUAAUGGUAACUCUUCAACUUCCUUGCCCCUUGCAUCCUUCAUUUUACUUGAUGGGUCAACUUUAUCUUUCCACAUGACCCACUUAAUCUAUCUUUCCACCUGUUGCUUACCUACAAAAUGAACAUGGCUAGAGAAGAAGUCACACACCAUGCUGACUUUCAAUUCAUGAACAUAAAUAUCAAGUGAGCUCAUGGAGUCACCCAAAAUUUGAGUUUCCUUCGAUCAUUCAUUCUUCUACUCCUUUUAAUAUUAUAUAUCUUUCUGAUUAAAACUCAAGCAUCUCCCCUUCACUUUCCAUAUCUGCUGAUGCUUUUGCUUUCUAAACUACUAAGUGAUCAGAAUCAAAUAGAAAAGGGUCUUCAUAGGCCCAGUGCGGUGGCUCACGCCUGUAAUGCCAGCACUUCAGAAAGCUGAGGCGGGCAGAUCAUGAGGUCAGGAGAUCGAGAGCAUCCUGGCUAACAGGUUGAAACCCUGUAUCUACUAAAAAUACAAAAAAUUAGCCAGGCGUGGUGGCGGGUGCCUGUAGUCCCAGCUACUCAGGAGGCUGAGGCAGGAGAAUGGCAUGAACCUGGGAGGUGGAGCUUGCAGUGAGCUGAGAUCGCCCCACUGCCCUCCAGCCUGGGCGACAGAGCAAGACUCCGUCUCAAAAAAAAAAAAAAAAAAUAGGGUCUUCAUAAGCUUCCAUCAUUACUUGCACUCAUUUAACAUAUUCUGUUCUGUACCAACAAAUGCUGCCUUCCUCUUGAAACUAUAAACUGUUCAUGUAGUUCACUAAGAUGCUUAAUUUCAUCUUCUCUCACACACUCAGGACACCUCCUUAACAACUCUCUUAUUUUCAACAUUAUCCACUCUAUCCUGUGCUACUCCCCUCAGCACACACCUAUGCUGUUAUUACCUCCUUCUCAAAAAAUUUCUCUGGACUUUACUUACACCUCCAGCUACGAUCUAAUUUUUAUGUAAUCUAUGAAUAAUUUCGUAGUAAUAUAUAUAAUUCACAUAUACUUAGAAAAAUACCUAGAAAAUCAUUUGACUAAACUUUGAAAAGUAGCCAUCUCAGAGUAAUGGAUUAUCAUAUAAUCUAUUUCUCAAUCAUACUUUCUGUAAGCCUUGAUAACUGCCAUGCAUACAUAUUCAGUUAUGAGUGCACAUAAUUAUAUAACUAUAUAAAAUAUGAAUCAGAUAAUUCAAUAAUUAAAUAGAAUUAUUGCAUAUAAUUAAAAUGCAAAAUAAAGAUAAAAGUACGACCAUGUUUGUGGCAUUGUAGAUGGCACAUCUGCCUUGAAAAGCAAUGUGGCAAUCUCUAGCAGAAUUACAAGUGUACAUUCCUAGAAAUCCAACAAUUUCAUUUUUUAAAAUACACUUCAGAGGAAAAAGGAUACCUAUGUAAGGAUUUACAUGGGAGAAAUAAUUGUAAUCAUGGACAAUUUGAAAUAACCUAAAUAUGUGAGUAGAAUGCUUAAAAUGUUGGUAUUGGUUCCAGAUCCACAUAGGAGAUAUUGAAAAUAAUGUUAUAUAAAAAUAGAAAGAGAGGAUAAUACAUAGAACACGUUGCUGUGCAGUGUUUAAGAACACAUAUAAGAUAAUCUUAUAGUAAAUAGGAUGGAAGGAUUCUCAUAAAAGUCAGAUAGUUGUUGCCCCUGGAGAGUUUGAAUAGGAAUAUUACUGAGGGUAUUCAUCAAAGGGGACUUAGCUAAAUCUCUAAAGUUUUAUUUUAUUUUUGAAAGAAAAUGAGAAGCAAAUAAGACAAGAUAUUAGCAGUAGAUAUUCUAGGUGAUGAAAACAUGUUUAUAUUGUAUCUAAAAGUAUAUGUGUGUAUAUAUCCCUGUGUAUGUGUGUGUGUGUGUGUGUGUGUGUGUGUAUCCAUUUCUAUAAUUUAAAUUCUUUUAAAGGAAAAAGAAUUUUAAAAAGAGGAAGAAAAACAGAUACACUAAGGUGAAAGUACAUGGUCCAUAGAAAUUUGACUGCUAAUAAUCUUGACAGAUCUCAUUUACAGAUGCAGAGAUGAGAAUUCUUUCCAUUUAAUGGCUUUGCAACAUUACAUAUUAUUUCUUAAAAGAUAUGUGCAGGAAGGAUUAUUUUUAUGCAAUUAAGAUGGUGAAAAAUUAAGGUGCUGACAACUCCAAGAAUAAGAACUAUUCUGUGGGGAAGAAGGCUGAGCAAAAUGUUCAGAGAGAAGCUUCUAGUGAUCAUUCCCCACACUUCAGGAACACCACAUUGAGCAAUUGUCUAUUCAAAAAAGCACCUUUAUAAGUUCCAAAAACCAGGUGAGAAAUCACAGUACCUGGUUUUAAUAUUACAUCAAGGAAAGAAGCACUGCAGAGGACAGAAAAGACAGUCUUGAAUUGACAAUAUUUUUCAUGUGGAGUUGAAUUUAGUUUGACAGUAUUUUGUUGAGGAUUUUUACAUUUAUGUUCAUCAGUGAUUGCAUCUCCUAUUUUAAGUGAUACAAAUGGUUACGGAUUGUGUUCUUAAUUACACAGCUUUAUUUGGUUUUGAAUGUUCACAUCAAUCUUUGUUACUAGAAGUCCAGUAACUUCAUAAAUGUUACUACACACAAUUUGUGAUUUUCCCUGUCUAAACACUUUAGUAACACACAUCUUAUGAUUCCAAGCAGUAAUCUUGUCUUAAAGUGUUUACUUGCCUUCUUAUUUCUCAAAAACAAGCUAGAAACAGCUGCCUGUAGCAUAAUUCAAUUAACCAAAAUGCAGAAAUAAUCAGCCUUAUUCACAGCAAAAGUGAACCUUUAUGGAGCCCUGCCUUGAAAAAAAUCUGACUGUAAUCUAUACAACCAAGACCUGCAUAUUAUAAGCAGUGAAGAUCUAUGAGAUUAGGGGGGAAUAUGUUUUUCAACUGUCUUGUUUUUAAGGAUGCAUGUAAAUUUAGCAUAUUUAUUUAUCUGAACACUUAAUCAAAAGAUAUAAGAAAUGUAUCUUGGAGAAUAUUUGGAAUAUUAGAAAACAUGUGGACACAGAUUUUUAGCUUUCUUUCUAUACUCAAAUAUGGUCUGCUAAUAUGAUGAUGUCAACAUGAUUAGAAGUAUUGCUGGUAAAUAAUUGUUAAACUGCACUCUUUACAAGAUGCUGAAGAUUGCUUUUCUGAUAUUUUUUGUCUAAUUCCAUGCCAAGGAUUAUUAUACGCACAAACAUAAUUAAUAUAUAAAUACCUCAUGCACCCUGACAAUGUGUGCUACAGAUAACCAGCAAUACUGGCUCUUAACACUUGCGAUCUCACUAAAACAAAGUGGAAAGCUAACUUUAUACAGUAAACCUAUAUAUACUAUAAUAAAACUUUAUUCAAUCC